rnacentral:lncRNA from 1 species
UUCUCAUUUCUUGAUAACAAAAUAGAAAAUUUAGCAAAACAAGAACACCUGAAUACACUAUCAUCCUUCUCAUCUCUUGAUAACAGUAUAUCAAAACUUUAGCAAAACAAGAACACUAAUAACAUUAUCAAUCCUCUCAUUUUCUUGAUAACAAUAUACAUAAUUUAGCAAAACCAAAACAAUAUACAACACUCUCAAUCCUCUCAUUUCUUAAUAACAAUAUACAAAAUUUAAGAAAAGAAGAACACUAAUGACACUAAUCAAUCUUCUGAUUUCUGAUAAACAAUCUACAAAAUAUAGCAAAACAAAGAACAUAAUAACACUAUGCAAAUCUUCUCAAUUUCUCAUAACAAUUAACAAAAUUUAGCAAAACAAAACACUAAAUAACACUAUCAUCUUCUCAUUUUUUGUACAAUAUAACAAAUUUAGCAAAACAAAGAACACUAAUAACACUAAUCAAUGCUUCUCAUUUCUUGAUACAAUAUACAAAAUUUUAGGCAAAACAAGAAACUAUAACACUAUCAAUCUUUCUCUAUUUCUUGAUAACAAUAUACAAAAUUUUUAAAAAAUAACAAGAACACAAUAACACUAUCAAUUUCUCAUUUCUCCUUGAUAACAAUAUACAAAAUUUAGCAAAACAAAAACACUAAUAACACUAUCAAUCUUCUAAUUUCUUGAUAAGCAAAUAUAAUCAAAAUUUUAGCAAAACAAUAACACUAAUACACUAUCAAUCUUCUCAUUUCUUUCUUGAUAACAAUAUACAAAACUUAAAAAAACAAAGAACACUAAUAAACACUACAUCUUCUCAUUUUUGAUAACAAAUUUACAAAACUUUAAAAAAACAAAAAACUAAUAACACUAUCAAUCUUCUCAUUUCUGAUAACAUAGAUAAAAUUUUGCAAAAACAACGAACACUAAUAACUACUGUCACUCUUCUCAUUUCUGAUAAACAAUAUACAAAAUUUAGCAAAACAAGAACACUAAUAACACUAUCAAUCUUCUGAUUUUCUUGAUAACAAUUUAUACAUAAUUUUGGCCAAAUAAAAACCUAAUAACACUAUAAAUCUCUUCAUUUCUUGAUAACGAUAUAAAAACUUAGCAAAAACAAGGACACUAAUAACACUAUCAAUCUUCACUUUCCUUGAUAUACAAUGAUACAAAAUUUAGCAAAACAGAAACACUAAUACAAAAACUAUCAAUCUUCUCAUUUCUUGAUAACAAUAACAGAAUUUUGCAAAACAAGAACAUUGAUAAACUAUCAAUCCUCUCAUUUCUUGAUAACAAUAUAACAAGAAUUUAGCCAAAAAAAGAACACUAAUAAACUCUAAUCCUCCAAUUUCUUGAUAAUAAUAUCAUAAAAUUUUAGCAAAACAAGAAACCAUAACACUAUCAAUCCUCUCAUUUAUUGAUAACAAUGUAACAGAAUUUAUCAAAGAACAAGAACACUAUAACACUUAUCAAUCCUCUUCAUUUCUGAUAACAAUUAGCAAAUUGCAGUAACAAAACAAGAAUACUAAUAUACUACUCUCAUCUUCUUCAUUUCUGAUAUACUAUAUUAUCAUAAAUUCAGCAAAACAUAGAACACUAUAACACUAUCAUCCUCUCAAUUUCUUGAAUAACAACAUACAAAAUUUAGCAAAACAAGAACAUUAAUAACAUUUAUCAAGUCUUCUCAUUUCCUUGAUAACAAUACUACAAAAUUUAGCAAAAACAAGAACACUAAUAACGAAUUUUCAAUUCUUUUUCAAUUUCCUUGAUUAACAAUAUACAAAAUUUAGCAGAAGCAAGAACAGACUAAUAAACUGAUCAAUCUUCUCAUCUUCUGAUAACAAAAAUAGAAAAUUUAGCAAAACAGAAGAAACACUAAUAACACUAAUCAUUCCUUCUCAUUUUCUUGAUAACAAUAUACAAAAAUUUAGCAAAACAGAACACUAAUAACAAUUAUCAUCCAAUCAUUUUCUUGAUAACAAUAUAUCAAAAUUUAGCAAACAAAAACAACUAAUAACACAAUCAAUCCUCCUCAUUUUCUUGAUUUAACAAUAUACAAAAUUCAGCAAAACAAGAACAGCCUAAUAACACUAUCAAUCUUUCAAUUUCUUAAUAACAAUAUACAAUUCAGCAAAACAAGAACACUAAUAACACUAUAUCCUCGUCAAUUUUCUUGAUAACAAUAUACAAUUUAAGCAAAAACAAGAACAUUAAUAACAUUAUCAAUCUUCUCAUUUCUUGAUAACAAUAUACCAAGUUAAGCAAAACAAGGACACUAAUAACACUAUCAAUCAUCUCAUUUCUUAAUAAUAAUAAUAUCAAAAUUUAGCAAAACAAGACCACUAAUAAACUAUGCAAUCUUCUCAUUUCUUGAUAACAAUAUAACAAAAUUUAAGCAAAACCCAAGAACACUCAUUAACACUAUCAUCUUCUCAUUUCUUGAUAACAACAUAACAAAUUACAAACCCAAGAACACUAAUAACACUAUCAAUCUCACAUUCUUGAUAAGCAAAUAUACAAAAUUUAGCAAACAAGAACAUUAAUAAACUAUCAAUCCUCUCAUUUCUUGAAUAACAAUAUACAAAUAUUCAGCAAAACAAGAACCUAAUAACAACUAUCAAUCUUCUCAUUUCUUGAAUAACAAUAUAAACUAAAAUUCAGCAAGAAGCAAGAACACUAAUAACCACUGUCAAUCCUCUCAAUUUCUGAUAACAAUUCAAAUUAAGCAAAACAAGAAAUAUUAAUAACAUAUCAAUCUUCUCAUUCUUAUAACAAUAUACAAGAAUUUGGCGAAACAAGGAACACCUAAUAACACAGAAUCAAUCAUCGUCAUUUUUAAUAAUAAUAUACAAAAUUUAGCACCACAAGAACACGUAAUAACACUACAAUCUUCUCAUCUUGAAUAACAAUAGUAUAAAUUAGCAAAACAAAGAAUAACUAAUAACGACUAUCACUCUUCGUCUUUCUUGAUAAGAAAAUACAAAAGUUUUAGCAAAACAAGAACAGCUAAUAACACUUUAUCGAAUCUUCACAUUUCUUGAUAACAAUAUACAAAAUUUAGGCAAAACCAAGAACACUAAUAACACUAUCAAUCCUCAUCAUUUCUUGAUAACAAUAUACGAAAUUCAGCAAACAAGAACCUAAUACACUAUCAAUCUUCACAUUUUCUGAUAACCAAUAUAAUAAUUUAUGCAAAACAAGAACACUAAUAACACUAUCCAAUCCUCUCAUUUAUUGAUAACAAUGUACAGAAUUUCAGCAAAGACAAGAACACUAAUAACACUAUCAAUCCUCAUCAUUUCUUCCUUGAUAACAAUAACAAAAUUCAGCAAAACAAGAAACACUAAUAACACUAUCAAUCUUCUCAUUUCUUGAUAACAAUAUACAAAAUUUCAGCAAAACAAGAACACUAUAACACUAUCAAUCCUCUAUUUCUUGAUAAACACAUACAAAAUUUAGCAAACAAAACAUUACUCAAGCAUUAAUCAAUCUUCUCAUUUCUUGAUAACAAACAAAAUUAGCAAAACAAGACACUACUAAUAACCUUUCAAUCUUCUCAUUUCUUGAUAACAAUAUACAAAUUUAGCAAAACAAGACACUAAUAACACUAUCAAUCUUCUCAUUUCUUGAUAACAAAUACAAAAUUUAGCAAAAGAAGAACACUAAAUACACUAUCAAUCUUCUCAUUUCUUGAUACAAUAUACAAAAUUUAGCAAAACAAGAACACUAAUAACAAUUCAUCCUCUCAUUUCUUUGAUAACAAAUACAAAAUUUAGCAAAAACAAGAGAACACUAUAACACUAUCAAUCCUCUCAUUUCUUGAUAACAAUAUACAAAAUUUCAGCAAAACAAGAACCCUAAUACACAUUCAAUCUUCUCAUUCUCUUAUAAACAAUAUACAAAAUUCAGCAAAACAAGAACACUAAUAACACUAUCAAUCCUCUCAUUUCUGAUAACAAUAUACAAAAUUUAGCAAAACAAGAACACUUAAUAACACUAUCAAUCGUUCUCAUUUUGAUAACAAUAUACAAAUUUAGCAACAAAACAAGAACACUAAUAAACAUUAUCAAUCCUCUCAUUCUUUGAUGAACAAUAUACAAAAUUUAGCAAAACAAGAACACUAAUAAACACUAUCAAUCCUCUCAUUUCUUGAAACAAAUAUACAAAAUUCAGCAAAACAAGAACCCUAAUAACACUAUCAAGCUUCUCAUUUCUUGAUAACCAAUAUACAAAAAAUUCAGCAAAACAAGAACACUAAUAACACUAUCAAUCCUCUCAUUUCUUGUAACAAUAUACAAAUUAGCAAAACAAGCAACGAUUAUAACAGUUAUCAAUCUACUCAUUCUUGAUAACAAUAUACAAAAAGUUAGCGAAAACAAGGACACUAAUAACACUAUCAAUAUCUCAUUUCUUUAAUAAUAGAAUAUACAAAAUUAGCCAAACAAGACCCCUAAUAACCACUAUUCAAUCUUCUCAUUCUUGAUAACAAUAUCAAAUUUAGCCGAAAAACAAAGAACACUAAUUACACUAUCAAUCUUUCUCAUUUCUUGAUAAAAACAUACAAAAUUUAGCAAAACAAAGACAUAUAACACUAUUCAUCUUCACAUUCUUAUACAAUAUACCAAUUUAGCAAAACCAAGAAACACUAAAUAACACUAUCAAUCAAACAAGAACACUAAAACACUGAUAAUCUUCUCAUUUCUUAAUAACAAUAUACAAAUUCUAGCAAACAAGACACUAAUAACAUAUCAAUCUUCUCAUUUCUUUAUAAACAAUAUACAAAAUUUAGCAACAAGGAACAUUAAUAACAUAUAAUCUUCUUCAUUUCUGCUAAACAAUAUACAAAAUUUAGCGCAAACAGAACAGCUAAUAACACUUAUCCAAUACUUCUCAUUCUCUAAAUAACCAAUAUAAAAUUUAAACAAACAAGAAUAAUAACACAUAUCAAUCUUCUAUUCUUGAUAACAAUAGAUACAAAUUUGCAAAACAAGAACACAAAUCACUAUCAAUCUCUCAUUCUAUAUGAUAACAAUAUACAUAAAUUUAGCAACAAGAAACAUAUCAACUAUCAUCUCUAUUUCUAUAAACAAUAGAAAAUUUAGCAAAACAAGAACCUAAUAACACUAACAUCCUUCUCAUUUCUGGAUAACAAUAUACAAAUUUAGCAAACAAGAACACUAUCACCAUUAUCAAUCUCUUCAUCUUCUGAUACUUACAUAUUUGCCAAAAGACCAAUGACACAAUAUCUCACAUAAAACGUCAAUUUACAACCGAACACUAAUAACUAUAUCAUCUGUAAAACAAUCUAUAUUACAAAAUGUAACUCCUCUUCUCGAUCAAUUUCAAAUUGAAACGAAAACCUAAUACAUUAUAAUUUCAUUUAUAUCAAGCAAAACAAGAACUUAAAUACAUCUAUCACAGUUCUCUCAUUUUUAUUAACAAUAUACAAAAUUUAGCCAACAAGACACUAUAUAACGCCUCUCUACUAUCAAUAUAAAUCGCAACAAGUAUCUGCAAUUUCUUAUCUAUAACCAUAUACAAUUAGCAAACAAAGAAACAUUAAACAUCUAUCAAUCUUCUCAUUCUUGAUAACGAAUAUACAAAAUUUUAGCGAAAACAAGAAACACUAAUAACACUAUCAAUCUUCUAUUUACUUAGAUAACAAUACACAAAAUUUUAGCAAAACAAGAACACAACAACUAUCAUCUUCUCAUUUUAUAUAACAAUAUACCAAACAUUAGCAAAAAAGAACAUACUAAAACACAUUAUCAUUCCUUCUCAUUUCUUUGAUAACAAUUAUACAAAAUUCAGCCAAAGACAGAGAACCAUAAAACAUAGUCAAUCUUCUCAUUUCUUAAUAACAAAUAGCAAAUUUUAGCAAAACAAGGAACACUAAAUCAAAACACUAAUCAAUUUUCCAAUCUUCAUUUCUUGAUACCAAUAUACAAAAUUUAGCAAAACAAGAACACUAAUAACACUGUCAAUCUUCUCAUUCCUUGAUAACAAUAUACAAAAUUUAGCAAAACAAGAACACUAAUAACACUAUCAAUCCUCUCAUUUCUUAAUAACAAAAUAGAAAAUUUAGCAAAACAAGAACAUUAAUAACACUAUCAAUCUUCUCAUUUCUUGAUAACAAUAUACAAAAUUUAUCAAAACAAGAACACUAAUAACACUAUCAAUCCUCUCAUUUCUUGAUAACAAUAUACAAAAUUCAGCAAAACAAGAACACUAAUAACACUAUCAAUCUUCUCAUUUCUUGAUAACAACAUACAAAAUUUAGCAAAAGAAGAACACUAAUAACACUAUCAAUCUUCAUAUUUCUUGAUAACAAUAUACAUAAUUUAGCAAAACAAGAACACUAAUAACACUAUCAAUCUUCUCAUUUCUUAAUAACAAAAUAGAAAAUUUAGCAAAACAAGAACACUAAUAACACUAUCAAUCUUCUCAUUUCUUGAUAACAAUAUAAUACUAUCAAUAUCUUCUCGAUUCGGGUUUUGUAGGAUAACAAUAUUAAAAUUUUUAAAAGAAGAAAAAAAAAAAAAAAAAGAAAGAAGAAAAAAACAAGAGAAAAGCACGAGCUCAUAACAUAAUCGAGAUCUGCUUCAUUUUCUUCCGAUAACGAAUAUACAAAAGUUUAGCCCCACCCCCCGCCGCCGCACGCCCACGCCCAGCCACCCCACCACGCCCCCGCCACACACCCCCCAAGCCCCAAAACCUAGAACGACUAACAUAAACACUAUCAAUCUUCUCAUUUUCUUGAAACAUAUACAAGAAUUUAGCCAAAAAAACAAGAACCAACGUAAUAAAAAACUAUCAGGUCUUUCAAUUUCUUUAAAAAUAACAAUAUACAAAAAUUUUAGGCAAAACACAAAGAACACAAUAACACUAUCAAUGUCUUCUCGAUUUCUUUGAUUAACAAUAUACAAAAGUGUUAGCAAAACAAAGAAACACAAAAACACGGUAUUCAAUCUUCUCCAGUUCCUGAAUAACAAUAUUACCAAAUUUCUAGCAAAAAACAGAAACCAUAAUAACACAUUCAAUCUUCUCAUUUCUGAUGAACAAAUAUGACAAAAAUUAUAGCCAAACACUAAAACACUAAUAACCACUUCAAUUCUUUCUCAGUUUCUUAAAUUACGAAUAUAGAAAAGUUUAGCAAAGAUAAUUAACACUAAUAACACUAUCAAUCUUCUCAUUCCUUGAUAACAAUAUACCAAAAUUUAGCAAAACAAGAACACUAAUAAACCUAAUUCAAUCUCUAAUUCUUUUGUGACAAUAUAAAAAUUUAGCAAAACGAGAACACUAAUAACGACUAUCGAAUCUUCUCAUUUCUUGAUAACAAUUAUACAGAAAUUUAGCAAAACAAGAAAAUACUAGUAAAACUAUUCAAUCUUCUCAUUUCUUGAACCAAUAUACAAAAAUUAUAGCAAAACAGAAACACUAAUAACACUAUCAACUUAUUCCAUCUUAAUAACAAUUAUACAAAAUUUACAAAAAACAGGAGAACAUAUAUAACACAUCAAUCUCUUCUCAUUUCUUGGAUAAAAUGUAGCAAAAUGUUGCAAAUAAGAACACUAUAACUACUAUCAAUCUUCUGAUUUCUUGAUAACAAUAUACCAAAAUUAAAACAAAACAAGACACUAAUAACACGUAUCAAUCUUCUCAUUUCUUGAUAAACAAUAUACAAAAAUUUAGGCAAGGUAAGCAGAACACUAAUAACACAUCAAUCUUCUCAUUUCUUGAUAAGCAAUGAUACAAAAUUUAAGCAAAAACAAGAACACUAAUAACACUAUCAAUCUUUCAUUUCAUAAUUACACUAGACACACUGAACAAUCAAUUCCAAUCUUAGCUACAAAAUUAGCAAAACAAAAUACACUAAUAACACUAUCUAAUCUUUUCAUUUUACGAUAAACAAUAUACAAAAGUUAGCAAAAAACAAGAACACUAAUAACACUAUUUCAAUCUUCCAUUUCUAAUAACAAUAUAGAAAAUUAGCAAACAAUAAUACACUAUACACUAGUCAAUGCUUCUCAUUUCUUGAUAACAAUAUAAAAAUUUAAAAAAAAAAACAAGAACACUAAUAACACUAUCAAUCUGUCUCAUUUCUUAAUAACAACUAUACAAAAUUAUAAAACUAAGAUCAUAAUAACACUAUCUAAUCUCUCAUCUUCUGGAUAACAAUAAUACAGAAAUUUAGCAAAACCAUGAUACACUAAAUAACACUAUCAAUCUUCCUCAUUUGCUUAAUAACAAUUAUACAAAAUUGCUCAGCAAACAAUGAAGACAACUAAUAACACUAUCAAUCUUCUCAUUCUUGAUAAAAUAUACAAACAAUUUUAGCAAGACUAAGAAACACUAAUAACACUUCGAAUCUUCUAUUCCUUGAUAACAUAUUACAAAAUUUAGCAAACGAAGAACACUAUCAACAUAUAUCUUCUCAUUUCUUUGCAUAAACAAUAUACAAAAGUUAGAAAACAAGCCAACACUUAAUAACACUACUCAAGUCUCUGCAUUUACUUGAUAACAAUAUUACCAAAAUUUCAGCCAAAACAAGAACACCUAAUAACACUAUCAAUGCUUCUCAUUUCUUAAUAACAAUAUUACAAAAUUAGACCAAAACCAAGAACACUUAGAUAGAGCACUAUUCAAUACUCUCUCAUUUCUCCUGGAUAACAAUUAUACAAAAAUUUAGCGAACAAGAACACUAUAAUAACACUAUCAAUCUUUCUUUCCCUUCAUAACAAUAUACAAAAAUUUAGCAAAACAAUGAACCAUCAAAUAACACUAUCAAUACUUCUCAUUUGGCUUCAAUAACAAUAUUACACAAAUUGUAACAACAAACAAGCAACAUCUAAGUACACAGGCUAUUCAAUCUUCUCAUUUCUCGUGAUUAAACAAUAUACAAAAAUUUGCAAAGCAAGAACCUAAUAAACUAUCAAUGCUUGUCUUCUUCAAUAGCAAAAUGAUCAAAAUAUUUAGAUAAAAACAAGAAUCACUAUAUAACACUAUCAAUCUAUACUCAUUUCAAUUCUAAAACUACAAAAAUCUUACGUAAAACAAGAAACACGAUCAUUAAUAACACUAUCCAACCUCUCAUUUGAUAACAAUAUAAAAUUGAAAAAACGAAAAUAAAACAUAUAAUUAGUCUGCAUUAUAACAACAUCAAAAUUUGCACAAACAAGAAACUAAACUAACCGAUCAAUCUUCUCAUUUCUUGAUAACAAUAUACAAAAUUUAGAAAAACACGAACACUAAUAACACUAUCAAUCUUCUCAUUCCUUGAUAAACAAUAUACAUAAACUUGCAAAACAAGAACACUAAUAACACUAUCAAUCUUCUCAUUUCUGUAUAAACAAAUACAAAAUUUAGAAAAACAAGAACACUAAUAACACUAUCAAUCUUCUCAUUUCUGAUAACAAUAUACAAAAGUUGCAAAACAGAACACUAAUAACACUAUUCAAUCUUUCUCAUUUCUUAAUACAAUAUAGAAAAUUUAGCGAAAUAAGAAACACUAAUAACACUAUCAAUCUUCUCAUUUCUUGAUAACAAUAUAACAAAAUUUAGCUAAACAAAGAAUUACUAAGUUAAAACUAUCACAUCCUCUCAUUUCUUGAUAACAAUAUACAAAAUAUUAAAGCAAAACAAGGAACACUUAUAACACUAUCAAUCUUCUUCAUUCUUGAUAACAAUAUACAAAAUUUAGAAAAACAAGAACACUAAUAACACUAUCAAUCUUCUCAUUUCUGAUAACUAUAUACAAAAAUUUAGCAAAACAAGAACACUAAUAACACUAUCAUUCUUCUCAUUUCUUAAUAACAAUAUAGAAAAUGUAGCAAAACCAAGAACUAAUAAAACACUAUCAAUCUUCUUCAUUUCUUAAUCAAUAUACAAANNNNNNNNNUACAAACAAUAUACAAAAUUUAGCAAACAAGAACACAAUACACUAUCAAUCUUCAUCUUUUGUACUAAAAUUUAGCAAAAAACAAGAACACUAAUAACACUAUAAUCCAUUCUCUCAUUUACAAUUAUUAACAAUAUACAAAAUUUUAACAGCAAAACAAGACUCUAAUAACAUAUCAAUCUUCCAUUUCUUGAUAAACAAUAUACAAAUUUAGCAAAACAAGAAACAUAAAACACUAUCAAUCUUCUCAAUUUCUGAUAACAAUAUAAAAUUUAGCAAACAAGAACACUAAUAACACUAUCAAUCUUCUCAUUUCUUGAUAACAAUAUACAAAAUUUAGCAAAACAGAACACUAAUAACACUAUCAAUCUUCUCAUUUCUUGAUAACAAUUAUACAAAUUGAGCAAAACAGAACACUAAUAACACUAUCAAAUCUUUUCUCAUUUCUUGAUAACAAUAUACAAAAAUUUAGCCAAACAAGAACACUAAUAAACACUAUCGAAUCUUCGUCAUUUCUGAUAACAAAUACAAAAUUUAGCAAAACAAGAACACUAAUAACACUAUUCAAUCUUCUCAUUUCUUUAAUAACAAUAUACAAAAUUUAAAAGAAACAACACUUUAAUAAACACUAUAUCAAUCUUCUCAUUUCUUGAUAACAAUUACAAAAUUAGCCAAACAAGAACACUAAUAACACUAUCAAUCUUCUCAUUUCGUUGAUAACAAUAUAAAAUUAGCAAAACAAGAACACUAAUAAACACUAUCAAACUUUUCUCAUUCUUUGAUAACAUAUACAAAAAUUUAGAAAACAAGAACACUAAUAACACUAUCAAUGCUUCUCUUUCUGAUAACAAUAUACAAAAAUUUAGCAAAACAAGAACACUAAUAACACUAUCAUCUUCUCAUUUCUUAUAGACAUAUACAAAUUUAGCCGAACUAAACGUACACGAAUCUGCUCAUUCCAUACAAAUAGAAAUACAAAACAAGAACACUAAUAACACUAUCAAUCUUCUUCAUUUCUUGAAUAACAAUAUACAAAAUUUAGCAAAACAAGAACACUAAUACACUAUCAAUCUUCUCUUUUCUAAAACAAUAUAAAAUUUAGCAAACAAGAACACUAAUAACACUAUCAAUCUUCUAUUUUUGAUAACAAUAUACAAAAUUUCAGCAUAAACAAGAAACUAAUAAACUAUCAAUCUCUCUUUCUUUAUAACAAUAACCAAAAUAUAGCAAAACAAUAACACUAAAACACUAUCAAUCUUCUCAUUUCUUGAUAACAAUAUACAAAAUUUAGCAGAAACAAGAACAUAAUAACACUAUCAAUCUUCUCAUUUCUGAAUAAACAAUAUAAAAAAAUUAGCAAAACAAGAACACUAAUAAUACUAUCAAUCUUUCUCAUUUCUUGAUAACAAUAUACAAAAAUUAGCAAACAAGAACACUAAUAACACUAUCAAUCUUCUCAUUUCUUAUAACAAAUAAAAAUUUAGCAAAACAAAACACGUAAUAACACUAUCAAUCUUCUCAUUCUUAAUAACAAUAUACAAAAAUUUAAAAAAACAAGACAUUAAUAAACAUAUCAAUCUCUCAUUUCUUGAUAACAAUAUACAAAAUUUGCAAAACAAGAACACUAAUAACACUAUCAAUCUUCUCAUUUCUUCGAUACAAUAUACAAAUUUAGGCAAAACAAGAACACUAAUAAACACUAUCAAUCUUCUCAUUUCUUGAUUACAAUAUAACAAAAUUUAGCAAAAACAAGAACACUAAUAACACUAUCAAUUUCUCAUUCUUGAUAACAAUAUACAAAAUUUAGCAAAACAAGAAACACUAAUAACCUAUCAAUCUUCUCAUUUCGUUGAUAACAAUAUACAAAAUUUAGCAAAAACAAGAACACUAAUAACACUAUCAAUCUUCUCAGUUUCUUGAUAACAAACAAUAUACAAAAUUUGGCAAAACAAGAACACUAAUAACACUAUCAAUCUUCUCAUUUCUUGAUAACAAUAUACAAAAUUUAGAAAAACAAGAACACUAAUAACACUAUCAAUCUUCUCAUUCCUUCAUAACAAUAUACAAAAUUUAGCAAAACAAGAACACUAAUAACACUAUCAAUCUUCUCAUUUCUUGAUAACAAUAUACAAAAUUUAGAAAAACAAGAACACUAAUAACACUAUCAAUCUUCUCAUUUCUGGAUAACAAUAUACAAAAUUUAGCAAAACAAGAACACUAAUAACACUAUCAAUCUUCUCAUUUCUUAAUAACAAUAUAGAAAAUUUAGCAAAACAAGAACACAAAUAACACUAUCAAUCUUCUCAUUUCUUGAUAACAAUAUAAAAAAUUUAGCUAAACAAGAAUACUAAUAAAACUAUCAAUCCUCUCAUUUCUUGAUAACAAUAUACAAAAUAUAGCAAAACAAUAACACUAAUAACACUAUCAAUAUUCUCAUUUCUUAAUAACAAUAUACAAAAUUUNNN